UUAUUCGUCCCGCCCUUGUACACACGCCGUCGCUCUACCGAUUGAAUGGCUCAGUGAGGCUCCGGACUGGCCCAGAGAGGUGGGCAACUACCACUCAGGGCCGGAAAGUUGUCCAAACUCGGUCAUUUAGAGGAAGUAAAAGUCGUAACAAGGUCUCCGUUGGUGAACCAGCGGAGGGAUCAUUA
rnacentral:rRNA from 1 species